AGGUCUUUCGUGCCAAGCGGUGCUUUCUCUACUCUCUCGUCGGCUUGGAUUGUUUCAUAGAGUGAUUUUGCUCUCUAUGGGGUGGUCUUUGGUUGAUUGGGGGGUGGAUAAUGCAAUACGUGUAGGUGCAUGAGUGGUGUUUUGCUUGUGUUGGUUGGUUGGAUCCUUGCUCUGGCAACGACGUCCAUCCUCACAUGCAUCUUCAGUUGCGUCUUGGGAUUCAUACUAUCUCGAGUUUUAUAUUGGUUUCUUGUGUUGGGUACCUGAUAUGAUGGCAAUCGGUAGUCUAAAUGUAACAUUUCGCCGUUCGUUGUCCUUUUUUGGCCGAUGCAGGGUGAACCACGAAGUAAUCUCUGUGUCCCACUCCACUCACAUUAAAUUGUGCUUGUGUAUUGGUCCAUGGAGAAUUUGCUUGUGCUCUUGGGUGCGGUGUAUUUAUAUGGGCAUGAGGUCUCACGUCCUCUUUUUGCCUUAACAAAAGCUUUCGUCGCUUAGUUGCGAACGAUUGCAAUUCCCCGUUUCUAGCCUUUUGGCGUGUGCGGUGAUUGCUUCGUUGAGGAAUGC
rnacentral:misc_RNA from 1 species